AGUGAACGCUGGCGGUAGGCCUAACACAUGCAAGUCGAACGGCAGCACAGUAAGAGCUUGCUCUUACGGGUGGCGAGUGGCGGACGGGUGAGGAAUACAUCGGAAUCUACUUUUUCGUGGGGGUUAACGUAGGGAAACUUACGCUAAUACCGCAUCCGACCUUCGGGUGAAAGCAGGGGAUCUUCGGACCUUGCGCGAUUGAAUGAGCCGCUGUCGGGGUAGCUGGUUGGCGGGGUAAAGGCCCACCAGGGCGGCGAUCCGUAGCUGGUCGGAGAGGAUGGUCAGCCACACUGGAACGGAGACACGGACCAGACGCCUGCGGGAGGGAGCAGUGGGGAAUAUGGGACAAUGGGGGCAAGCCUGAUCCAGCCAGACCGCGUGGGUGGAGAAGGCCUUCGGGUUGUAAAGCCCUUUUGUGGGGAAAGAAAAGCAUCAGGUUAAUACCCCGCUGUUCUGACGGUACCCAAAGAAUAAGCACCGGCUAACUUCGUG
rnacentral:rRNA from 1 species